GGGGUGAUGGCGCAGUUGGGAGCGCGUUAGACUGAAGUAAACUUUAUUCAAUUAUCUAAAGGUCACCGGUUCAAGCCCGGUUCACCCCA